UACGUAGGGUGCGAGCGUUAAUCGGAAUUACUGGGCGUAAAGCGUGCGCAGGCGGUCGUUCAAGUCGCGUGUGAAAGCCCCCCGGCUCAACUGGGGAGGGUCACGCGAUACUGAUCGACUGGAAGGCAGGAGAGGGUAGUGGAAUUCCCGGUGUAGUGGUGAAAUGCGUAGAUAUCGGGAGGAACACCAGUGGCGAAGGCGACUACCUGGCCUGUUCUUGACGCUGAGGCGCGAAAGCGUGGGGAGCAAACAGG
rnacentral:rRNA from 1 species